rnacentral:rRNA from 1 species
AAUAGGCUAAUUAAGAGCGUAAGGGGAAUGCCUUGGCUCUCAGAGGCGAUGAAGGACGUGAUAAGCUGCGAUAAGCUGUGGGGAGUGGCACAAACACUUUGAUCCGCAGAUUUCCGAAUGGGGUAACCCGGCAUAUUGAAGAUAUGUCACACUGUAAAGUGAGCGAACCUGGUGAACUGAAACAUCUAAGUAACCAGAGGAAUAGAAAACAAAAGUGAUUCCGCUAGUAGUGGCGAGCGAACGUGGAACAGCCUAAACCUAUGUUGUUAAGGCAAUAUAGGGGUUGUAGGACCUCAACAUUUAAUGCUAAUAGAACUAGAAUUUACUGGAAAGUAAAACC